GUAUAAGUGGGCUGUCGCUGCAGCAGUAAGGAGACGCCGUAGCAACAUCACAUAAUAGUGCUCACAGGAGCACUAUAGCUGCCCCAUUAUAUUAGAGGAGAAAGAAAUACACUACUCCCUCCGAUUCAAAUGAUGGGGAAUUCUCCCUGAUGACAACCAAUUUCAGAAGGGCAUACAGCUUAGAGGUGUGAUUCCUGGAGGUCUCUCGCACAGCCAUGCUUGAGGGUACCCUUUAUAUGCACGCACCAGAAAUCUGAUGGGCUUCUCUGAUUUGGAGGUGUGAAAUUGUAGAGAUCUGGGGCAAGUACCGAUCUAGUUGCUGCAAAAUGAUGUAGUUUCCUUUCUUCUGUGCUAAUGCGAAAUCCCUAAAAAUCCCUGA